GCUUAGCCGGCGCCAGACCGACCCUCGACUUCGGAGAGGCAGCGCGGUUCCUCUGGGUGCUUCCGCCUCCCCUUCUCCUGCUUCUCCAGCCUCUUCGGCCUCCUCGCCCGCCGCGGGAACCCGAGACCCCAGUGUAUGCCCCACCCCUGACCCCGCUCGCGACAUGUCCACCCCGGCUCGGCGGCGCCUCAUGCGGGACUUCAAGAGGUUGCAGGAGGAUCCUCCAGCCGGAGUCAGCGGGGCUCCGUCCGAGAACAACAUAAUGGUGUGGAACGCGGUCAUUUUCGGGUGAGUCUGCGUUCGUGGCGGUGGCGAGAAAACUGGGGACGCGAGCAGCUUCGGUCUGCGCUCCGGGGCGGGCCCCCCGCGGAGGCCGAGGGGGUAGGGGAAAAUGUUUGGGUCUGGCUGGGCCUAGGCGCCUCCCCGGAGCCUGUGCCUCGAUUAGCUCAGUUCCCGCUGCCAGGGGGAACCGCUUGGGGUUCUAGGGGGGCGGGGCGGGGAGUGGUGGCGGUUAGGCGCGGCGGCUUGCCCUGUGUCUCUGAGCCCGGGACAUCCAUUUGUAGUGGCUUCCGACCCCGGCAGCGGUGCUGGAGAUGGCAGAGCUCGGGAUAGCCAUCUCAGAUGAAGCAGGGAGAAGGGGGCCCCUUAAGUGGGAACUGACCAUUUUUCUCUGUGUUGCAGGCCUGAAGGGACCCCGUUUGAGG
rnacentral:sRNA from 1 species